rnacentral:rRNA from 1 species
UUAGUACGGCGAGUGAACCGGGAAAAGCUCAAAUUUGUAAUCUGGCUGUCUUCGAUAGUCCGAGUUGUAAUCUAUAGACGUGUUUUCCGUGCUGGACCGUAUCUAAGUCCCUUGGAACAGGGUAUCAAAGAGGGUGACAAUCCCGUGCUUGAUACGACCACCAGUGCUCUGUGAUACACGCUCUACGAGUCGAGUUGUUUGGGAAUGCAGCUCAAAAUGGGUGGUAAAUUCCAUCUAAAGCUAAAUAUUGGCGAGAGACCGAUAGCGAACAAGUACCGUGAGGGAAAGAUGAAAAGCACUUUGGAAAGAGAGUUAAACAGUACGUGAAAUUGUUGAAAGGGAAACGAUUGAAAUCAGUCGUGUUCUUUGGAUUCAGCUAGUUCUUCUAGUCUACUUCCAUUGAACGGGUCAACAUCAGUUUUGUCCGGUGGAUAAAGAUAGUAGGAAUGUAGCUCCCCCGGGAGUGUUAUAGACUAUUAUUGCAUACACUGGGUGAGACUGAGACUGCAGCUCGCCUUUUGGCCGGUCUUCGGACACGUUCGAGCUUAGGAUGUUGACAUAAUGGCUUUAAACGA